rnacentral:lncRNA from 12 species
GCAGCAAACAAAAGCAGGAGCAAGAAGAGGAAGGAGGAGAAAGAAGGCGGACAGAGGAUGCUGACACUCACUUAACUGGAUAGCUGCUUGAUAAUCCUGGGACAUACUGAGAUGCCUCCCAACUUGCCUUUGUCCUACAAGUAGCCACGCAACCCAGCUUCUAGAAAUGAAAUGUCAUGAGCACUGAGAUACAUUAGCUACCACAAGAUCCACUCUC